rnacentral:rRNA from 1 species
UGGAGAGUUUGAUCCUGGCUCAGGACGAACGCUGGCGGCGUGCUUAACACAUGCAAGUCGAACGAGAUCCAUGCAGUAGCAAUACUGCGGAAGAUCUAGUGGCGAACGGGUGCGUAACACGUGAGGAACUUGUCCCGGUCUCUGGGAUAACAGUUGGAAACGACUGCUAAUACCGGAUGACGUCGGAGCAUCGCAUGGUGCGCUGACGAAAGGGUUACUGGAUCGGGAGAGCCUCGCGGCCUAUCAGCUUGUUGGUGGGGUAACGGCCCACCAAGGCAUCGACGGGUAGCUGGUCUGAGAGGAUGAUCAGCCACACUGGGACUGAGACACGGCCCAGACUCCUACGGGAGGCAGCAGUGGGGAAUCUUGCGCAAUGGGCGAAAGCC